CAUGCGUUUCAUGAUGGUCGUUUGGAGGAAGUGGUUCUGCGGCAUCUGGAUGCAGAAGAUGGGCAGACUGUGAUAGCAAAAGAUAUAAGGUUGUCUGACUUUCUUGAGGGUAUGCGUAUAUGAAUGAGGACUCUCUUAAGCACAAUAAAAGACAA